ACUAGUGACCAAACCUGCUUGUCAAAGCCUGAUCUCAUCAGUUCUCAGAAGCUAAACAGGUCUGGGCAUGGUUGGUACUAGGACGGGGGACGGCUGAUAAUAUCAGGUGCCACAGUG
rnacentral:rRNA from 1 species